GCUUGUCUCAAAGAUUAAGCCAUGCAUGUCUAAGUAUAACUCUUUUACUUUGAAAACUGCGAACGGCUCAUUAUAUCAGUUAUAGUUUCUUUGAUAGUCCCUUACUACUUGGAUACCCGUAGUAAUUCUAGAGCUAAUACAUGCGCAAAAGACCCGACUGUUUGGGAGGGUUGUAUUUAUUAGAUAAAAAACCAAUCGGCUUCGGCUGUCUGAGGUGAAUCAUAAUAACUUUGCGAAUCGCAUGGCCUUGUGCCGGCGAUGAAUCAUUCAAAUUUCUGCCCUAUCAACUUUCGAUGGUAAGGUAUUGGCUUACCAUGGUUGCAACGGGUAACGGAGAAUUAGGGUUCGAUUCCGGAGAGGGCGCCUGAGAAAUGGCGACCACAUCCAAGGAAGGCAGCAGG
rnacentral:rRNA from 1 species